rnacentral:rRNA from 1 species
UACGGGGGGGGGCAAGCGUUGUUCGGAAUUACUGGGCGUAAAGGGCUCGUAGGCGGCCAACUAAGUCAGACGUGAAAUCCCUCGGCUUAACCGGGGAACUGCGUCUGAUACUGGAUGGCUUGAAUUCGGGAGAGGGAUGCGGAAUUCCAGGUGUAGCGGUGAAAUGCGCAGAUAUCAGGAAGAACACCAAUGGCGAAAGCAGCUCUCUGGGACGGUACUGACGCUGAGACGCGAAAGCGUGGGGAGCAAACAGG